rnacentral:rRNA from 1 species
GAUGAACGCUGGCGGCGUGCUUAACACAUGCAAGUCGAACGGAAAGGCCCAAGCUUGCUUGGGUACUCGAGUGGCGAACGGGUGAGUAACACGUGGGUGAUCUGCCCUUCACUUCGGGAUAAGCCUGGGAAACUGGGUCUAAUACCGGAUAGGACCACUUCUUGGAUGUUGUGGUGGAAAGAUUUUUCGGUGUGGGGUGAGCUCGCGGCCUAUCGGCUUGUUGGUGGGGUGAUGGCCUACCAAGGCGUGGACGGGUAGCCGGCCUGUGAGGGUGUACGGCGACACUGAGUCCGAGAGACGGCCCAGAUUCCUACGGUAGGCAGAAGGGGGGAAGAUUGCACAAUGGGCGCAAGCCGGAUGCAGAGACGCCGCGUGGGGGAUGACGGUCUUCGGGUUGAAAACCCAUUUUGCAAGGGACGAAGCGUUUUGUGACGGUACCUGGAGAAGAAGCACCGGCUAACUACGUG